rnacentral:rRNA from 1 species
AUACGGAGGGUGCGAGCGUUAAUCGGAAUUGCUGGGCGUAAAGCGUACGUAGGCGGUUGGUUAAGUUAGAUGUGAAAGCCCCGGGCUUAACCUGGGAACUGCAUUUAAAACUGGCGAACUAGAGUUGAGUAGAGGGGAGUGGAAUUUCAGGUGUAGCGGUGAAAUGCGUAGAGAUCUGAAGGAACACCAGUGGCGAAGGCGACUCCCUGGACUCGAACUGACGCUGAGGUACGAAAGCGUGGGUAGCAAACGGGAUUAGAAACCCGAGUAGUCC